rnacentral:rRNA from 2 species
UCCAGAGAUGGAUUGGUGCCUUCGGGAACUGUGAGACAGGUGCUGCAUGGCUGUCGUCAGCUCGUGUUGUGAAAUGUUGGGUUAAGUCCCGCAACGAGCGCAACCCUUAUCCUUUGUUGCCAGCGGUUAGGCCGGGAACUCAAAGGAGACUGCCAGUGAUAAACUGGAGGAAGGUGGGGAUGACGUCAAGUCAUCAUGGCCCUUACGACCAGGGCUACACACGUGCUACAAUGGCAUAUACAAAGAGAAGCGACCU